rnacentral:lncRNA from 1 species
GUCUUCUCUUCCAGGUGUAUGUCUUCUCUCUCAGAGUGGUAUGUCUUCUAUAUAGGUGUAUGUCAGUCUCUCGGCGGUAUGUCUUCUCCAUCCAGGUGUGUGUAUGUCUCUCUCUUUCAGGGUAUGUCUUCUCUCUCAGGUGUAUGUCUUCUCUCUCAGGUGUAUGUCUUCUUCUCAGUGUCUCUACAGGGUAUGUCCUCUCUUCAGGUUCGUAUGUCUUCUCUCAGGUGUAUGUCCUCUCUCAGGUGUAUGUCUUCUCUCUCAGGUGUGUGUAUGUCUUCUCUCUCAGGUGUAUGUCUUUCCUCUCAGGUGUGUGGAUGUGUGUCUUCUUCUCUCGGGUGUAUGUCUUCUUCCCGGUGGUGUAUGUCCUCUCUCCCAGGUGUGUGUAUGUCUU